UCCUCGCUGGGGCCUCCA
rnacentral:ncRNA from 2 species